rnacentral:rRNA from 1 species
CCUACGGGAGGCAGCAGUGAGGAAUAUUGGUCAAUGGCCGUAAGGCUGAACCAGCCAAGUCGCGUGAAGGAAGAAGGAUCUAUGGUUUGUAAACUUCUUUUGUCGGGGAAUAAAGGUAUCCACGUGUGGCUAUUUGCAUGUACCCUAUAAAUAAGCAUCGGCUCACUCCGUGCCAGCAGCCGCGGUAAUACGGAGGAUGCGAGCGUUCUCCGGAUUUAUUGGGUUUAAAGGGUGCGUAGGUUGGUUUUUAAGUCAGCGGGGAAAGUUUGUGGAUCAACCAUAAUAUUGCCGUUGAAACUGGAAGACUUGAGUGUGUUUGAGGUAUGCGGAAUGCGUGGUGUAGCGGUGAAAUGCAUAGAUAUCACGCAGAACUCCGAUUGCGAAGGCAGCUUACUAAGCCACAACUGACACUGAAGCACGAAAGCGUGGGGAUCAAACAGGAUUAGAUACCCGGGUAGUC